UAAUACGGAGGUUGCAAGCGUUGUUCGGAAUGACUGGGCGUAAAGGGAGCGCAGGCGGCCAAGUCAGUCUGAAGUGAAAGCCCGGGGCUUAACCCCGGAAUAGCUUUGGAUACUGCCUGGCUUGAGUGUGCGAUAGGAAAGCGGAAUUCCAGGUGUAGCGGUGAAAUGCGUAGAUAUCUGGAGGAACACCGGUGGCGAAAGCGGCUUUCUGGCGCAUAACUGACGCUGAGGCUCGAAAGCGUGGGGAGCGAACGGG
rnacentral:rRNA from 1 species